rnacentral:rRNA from 1 species
AGCAGCCGCGGUAAUUCCAGCUCCAAUAGCGUAUAUUAAAGUUGUUGCAGUUAAAAGCUCGUAGUUGAAUUUCGGAACCGAUGGAUCGGUCACGCCAUUCGGUGUGUACUGGUUUAAUUGGUUCUCACCUUCUAAGGAACCGUGAUGUCAUUAAUUUGGUGUCGCGGGGAAUUAGGACUGUUACCUUGAAAAAUUAGAGUGUUUAAAGCAAGCUCACGCUUGAAUACAUUAGCAUGGAAUAAUGAAAUAGGACAUUGUAUUCUAUUUUGUUGGUUUCUAGGAUCGAUGUAAUGAUUAAUAGGGAUAGUUGGGGGCAUUAGUAUUCAAUUGUCAGAGGUGAAAUUCUUGGAUUUAUUGAAGACUAACUACUGCGAAAGCAUUUGCCAAGGAUGUUUUCAUUAAUCAAGAACGAAAGUUAGGGAUCGAAGACGAUCAGAUACCGUCGUAGUC